GAUGAACGCUGGCGGCAUGCCUUACACAUGCAAGUCGAACGGCAGCACGGGUGCUUGCACCUGGUGGCGAGUGGCGAACGGGUGAGUAAUACAUCGGCACGUACCUUAUCGUGGGGGAUAACGCAGCGAAAGUUGCGAUAAUACCGCAUACGCCCUGAGGGGGAAAGCGGGGGACCGGAAGGCCUCGCGCGAUGAGAGCGGCCGAUGGCUGUAUAGCUUGUUGGUGAGGUAAAAGCUCACCAAGGCGAUGAUCAGUAGCUGGACUGAGAGGACGAUCAGCCACACUGGGACUGAGACACGGCCCAGACUCCUACGGGAGGCAGCAGUGGGGAAUUUUGGACAAUGGGGGCAACCCUGAUCCAGCAAUGCCGCGUGAGUGAAGAAGGCCUUCGGGUUGUAAAGCUCUUUUGUCAGGGAAGAAACAGCAGCUCUAACACAGUCUGCGAAUGACGGUACCUGAAGAAUAAGCACCGGCUAACUACGUGCCAGCCGCCGCGGUAA
rnacentral:rRNA from 1 species